UACGUAGAAGACUAGUGUUAUUCAUCUUUAAUAGGUUUAAAGGGUACCUAGACGGUAUAAUUAGUCUAAAAUAAGAUACGGUUAUACUAGAGUUAUAUAUGAGGAGGUGAGUAUUUAUGGAGUGAGAGUUGUAAAUUCGUGUCAUCCCAUAACGACUGGUAACGGCGAAAAGCAACCUUUAUCUAAUAACUGACGUUGAGGGACGAAGGCUCGGGUAACGAACAGG
rnacentral:rRNA from 1 species